AGUGAACGCUGGCGGCGUGCCUAAUACAUGCAAGUCGAACGGAGAUUAAGUAGCUUGCUAUUUAAUCUUAGUGGCGCACGGGUGAGUAAUAUAUAGCUAACUUGCCCAUUACUAAGGGACAACAGUUGGAAACGACUGCUAAUACCUUAUACUCCGUAUCUAUAUAAGUAGAUACGGGAAAGUUUUUCGGUAAUGGAUAGGGCUAUAUCGUAUCAGCUAGUUGGUAAGGUAAUGGCUUACCAAGGCUAUGACGCGUAACUGGUCUGAGAGGAUGAUCAGUCACACUGGAACUGAGACACGGUCCAGACUCCUACGGGAGGCAGCAGUAGGGAAUAUUGCUCACUGGGGGAAACCCUGAAGCAGCAACGCCGCGUGGAGGACGACACUUUUCGGAGCGUAAACUCCUUUUUUUGGGAAAGAAUUAUGACGGUACCCAAGGAAUAAGCACCGGCUAACUCCGUG
rnacentral:rRNA from 1 species